GUUUGACCUUUCUCUGAAGUUUUCCAUUAACAUAUUCAAUUUGUGUGUGUGUGUGUUUGUGUGUGUGUGUGUUGACAGAUUAGAAGAGUCUGUGCCAGAAGAUGAAAAAUGGAAGAACUACGGAGGUGUGUAUGUAGGUUUUCCUACAAACCUGAGUGACAUUCCUGCAAUACACAUCGGAUCACUCAGAGAGCACGACUUGUCGUCCCUCGGGAGGCCGCUGUGGAGGGACGGAUCCUGAUUUUAAUGAAGAGCAGUGAACUGAAAGACGGAGAAGAAUUAAGAAGAGGAAACCCUGCAGGCGUCCUUCAGUUUGCCAUCAGAGACUCACCGAGUGAUGAGGAGCCGCUCUCAUCUUCUCUCGCUGCUUCGUCCUCCGUGAGGACUGUACUGGGAUCAGCUCCUCCUGGUUUUGCUUGCUGUGGAGCCUGCUGUAAAACAAACUGGUUAAAGACUUUUGGAAGCAGAUGGACUCAUCAGACAGUGACAGUUUGCAGUUUAAACAUAUGAAGGUGCUUAGAUAGUUGGUUCCACUUCAUUUGACCUUAUUGGCUUGUUGUGUAUCUGCUUAAGGAAACACCAGCAGCAGCUGUUACAAGAGGCAGAAGCUGUGGUAACUCUCCUUGUUGAGGGAGUAAUACUGAGUUCAUCCAAAUAUGUAGUAGGACUAAAUGUUAAAUAUAAAUAGGGAUAAGUGUGGUGAUAUUCAGUCAACAAAAAUCAAGUGUCAGUGUAUCCCAAUCCUCUUCUUAUGUGCUUCACAGCUCUAUUGUUGUCAGAAAACUAUGAAAACCACACCGAUGAGCCACACGGUUGCACUGGUUGGCAUUUACCUUCAUCAUCAUGAACACACACUGUAUUUGUAUUUUGACGGCCUGCUUCAAUCCAAUGUGGAAUCAUUUGCUGCUGAAAAUAGUCCCUAACAAAAGCACUAAUGACCAAUAUUUUACAAAAUGACUUUAGCCUUUUAGGAAUAUACAAAUAUAGAUCAAUGAGCUGUUUUCAUAUAUUAAUUGUACGAUGUCGAUGUUCAAUAAAACAUUUUAUUUAGGGAGCAUGUUUCUGUAAGGUUUCCACAGUAUAAUACCAUAGUGAUGAAGGCUGGAUUAACGUUUAGUACUCACGUGUAGCUUGUUUUGUUUGAAAUGAUAACGUGCAGACUCUUGGCGUCUCAAGGACACAGACAGCAGUAAGUGGCUCCUGCUGUGAGAGGACGUCAGACAAUCAUCUCUCCUUUGGGCAUUUACACAAAAUGAAAGCUGUAUGAAUGUUUUUGAGUCUACCAUUUGUGCUCAACGUGAACCCACCUGUUCUCUCCCAAGGAAAAUACCUGUUGGUUUCUUAGGAAGUGGCUAAAAGAAAGCACAUUAUGUCACACACAGCAUGGCUCUGAUGUUUCUCAAUUUGAUUAUUUAACAGAAAAGAUAAUUGAAAUGUAUUGUAUAUUGCAGCAAUUUGUUCAAGUCUGUUCAAAUCCACCCAAAUAAACCACAACCUGCAAAUGUCUUGAGGUUGUAUUUCAACACAUGUUUCAGACAAUUUUAAUUAGGAACACAUUCAGAGAAUAGAGCUUAUUAAAAUGACUUGUUAUCCUUCCUUCUCACCACAUCAAUACUCAACCCGCUACUGUAUAGUACACAUUCACUGUAUUUGAGUUAAUGUAAAACAAUCUAUCUUAAUAUUAGUCUUGCUCUGUGAUGCUGUUGUGGCAUUUCUGCACAAAAAUGUCUAUGUUUUUGUAGAGGUUUUGUUUUUUACUGUCUUCAAAAUGUUUUCCUUUUGAGAUGCGAAAAUGUGUAAGAAAGUAAAUUAUUUCCCCUGAAAGCUGCUUCUCUUUUUGUUUUCAAUCAAGUGAUACUUUUGCUGACUUUUGUUUAACCAUGAAAUGUAAAAGACAAAUAGAACAUAUAAACGGCAGGAUAAAGU